CACUUGCCGAAGCUACCCGCUUCAGUCCCGAGCUCUCGGACCCAGAUGGCAUCCGCCUCGCCGGAACCCGCAGCGACCGAGACCGGCGACUCCGUCAAAAUCCGCCGCCUAGAGAUCGCCGACCGCGAGAGGGGCUUCCUACCCCUCCUCUCCCAGCUCUCCUCCUGCCCGGACCUCACCGAGUCCGAGUUCGCCGCGUGCUUCGCCAACCUCGCGGCCCUCGGCGACGACCACGUCAUCCUCGUGGCCGAGGACCCCGCCGCGGCUCCGGAGCGGCGGAUCCUCUCCACGGGGUGCCUCUUCGUGGAGCGCAAGUUCCUCCGCGGCGGCGGCAAGGUGGGGCACGUGGAGGACGUGGUGGUCGACGCCGCCGCGCGCGGCCGGGGGCUCGGGCUCCGCGUCGUGCGCCGCCUCGUGGAGACGGCGAAGGACGCCGGCUGCUACAAGGUCAUCCUGGACUGCACCCCGGAGCUGCGCGCCUACUACGCCAAAUGCGGCUUCGUGGAGAAGGGGGUUCAGAUGGCCGUGUACUUCUGAAUUCUGAUCCAUCCAUGGGGUAAUGCGCAACAGAGACUGCAUUUCUUUGUCCCGUCGCAUCUAUCCCUUUGUCUGUGGCAAUCUGUUAUCAUAUCAUUAUUCUGAACUUGUCUGUGUUAGUGACUGAGAAUGCUAUUUAUGGAAUCCCAACUUUAUCAUGUGGCUGUAUGGCUUUGGCCUGUUUCUGCUGCGUUCAUAAAAGAAAAUUCCGUGCUAUAUUGUCUUGGUUAAAUAACAGCGAUAAUUCUGUCGCUACUAUAAUGUUCCAAAUAUAGGCCAGUUAAUCGCCAUCUCGGUCAGUUAAUUGCUACUCAGGUGGGUCACCGAAUAGCCGAUAGUAACUGAUUUAUCAGCCGAUUAACUGCUGAUUCGCCUAUUUAUCCCUACUCAGCACCUGAAGGUACCAGUUACCGAUAUCCUGAACAUUGCCUACUAGUGUAAAUCUUGAAAGUUACUACUAGUUCUUUCGGUCAGUAAAGCUGUCGGGCUAAGCUUUGCCAACCAUAGACAAGUGAACCGGGGAUUUUCUGUUAGAGCUGAAUGAAGUUCUAUGCAUAGUACUGUAGAUUGUAAACCAUAACACCAUCAUAGUACCUGGUAGGAGCUGCUAUAGUGAAUCAAAUCUUUCUAGGCAUUUACCAAAUGAGCUAGCAUAGACACAUAAUCAUGCCUAUUCAAUCAAAUUCUCUGUCAUAAAGGUAAUCAUGUCUAACAGUGUACUGUUAUUGUUGCUGAAAGAACUUUUGGUACCGAGGCUCUUGACUCUUGAGGUUUCACUUUUAGAGAUUAGCCAACUGAUGCCCCGUGUAAAUAUUCAACAUGCAUCACCCUAUGGUUUGAGACAUUUUGUGGAGUGCAUGCUAUUAUGGUUCUACGCAGCUGGGUGACACUGCUAGGGUCCUGGAGACGGUAUCAAGAUAGCCUGUGCAUUUGCAGGAACAUGAUAAGUACUCCCUCCAUUCCAAAAUAUAGUGCGCCUGCACUUUCCGAGGUCCAACUUUGACCAUAAAUUUAACCAACGAGACCGACUGCGGCGGGAGAAAAAAUUAUAUAGUUGAAAACUUCUUUUGAAUACGAAUUCACUGGUAUAACUUUUGCUCCGUCGCAGUCGGUCUCGUUGGUUAAAUUUAUGGUCAAACUUGAAGCACGGGAAUAGAGGAAGCACUAUAUUUUGGAACGGAGGGAGUAGCAAUUACUGGUGGAUGAUGACUUGUCAGAUACUUAUGGGUUUGGUUUCUGGAAUGCUUAUUGGCUUAUAUUUUCACUUCCAUUUUCUGCUGGUGAUAUGUGACUGAGCGAGUACUAUCCUCCGCUCGGAACCCAACCACAGUUUGAAUUUGCUAAAUUGGUACCCAAGACAUUACAACUUACAAGCCAGUUCAACACCUUCAGCAUUCGGCACUUCUAAAAGGUAAUUCAUGGCUAAUAGUCGAUCCAUCAAAGUUGAUCUAUGUCCUUGGGAGCCCUUCUGAAGAAAUUAGUACUGUCAUGGGGGCAGCUCUUAACCUGGCUGAUUUUCCAGUACCACAAUGGACCAUUGAGAAGCUUCCUUGAAGCUAAAUUCUUUUCCAGAAAAUACAAACUUCUAUCACGGGCUGGUACUGCUGAGCUCUCAUUCCCCUCCAUUCGAACUGGAUGUUAUACCAUGCACGUUAGAUGCUCUACCAAACAGUGGCUUCAGAAUAACAUGUCGGCUAGUUUACCGAGGUCAAUAUGAUUACCACUCUUUGUAGACUCAUUUGCUUACAACAGUGUAACUCGAUGAUAGUGUGAAGCCACAAAGGGUCUCUUUGUGGGAUUUAUUAAUCAUUAGGCAUAUUAUAAUCUGCCACACGGGAAUUCUCAAGAUCAUCUAGGAAGGAUUCUAGCCAGACCAUGGUUCUACCAUGAAGCCUCCCAAAGGAAGCUAGAAGCUCAUCCAAAGGAGUGUAUCUUGUCUUCUGUUGGGGUGUUAAAAGACAGCGUACUUUGCUGGCUGUUCGAUUCCCUUUGUUUCAGUUCCUGGAUUGUCAAAGAAGACAUGGGUUUUGGCUGUUUUA